rnacentral:rRNA from 1 species
UACGAAGGGGGCUAGCGUUGCUCGGAAUUACUGGGCGUAAAGGGCGCGUAGGCGGUGCGCUAAGUCAGAUGUGAAAGCCCUGGGCUUAACCCGGGAACUGCAUUUGAUACUGGCGCGCUCGAAUCCGGGAGAGGUUGGUGGAAUUCCCAGUGUAGAGGUGAAAUUCGUAGAGAUUGGGAAGAACACCGGUGGCGAAGGCGGCCAACUGGACCGGUAUUGACGCUGAGGCGCGAAAGCGUGGGGAGCAAACAGG